ACAAACUUGGUCAUUUAGAGGAAGUAAAAGUCGUAACAAGGUCUCCGUUGGUGAACCAGCGGAGGGAUCAUUACAGAGUUUAUCCAACUCCCAACCCAUGUGAAUCUUACCUUUGUUGCCUCGGUGGACUCGAGCAAUUCCAGCUUUCCCUGUACUAGCUACCCUGGACCCCCUACCCGGGACGUCCUACCCGGUAGCUAUUACCCGGUCUUCUGCGCUCGUGGUUCGCCGGUGGCCCAUUCAACUCUGUUUUAUACUGAAUCUCUGAAUACAAACUUAAUAAGUUAAAACUUUCAACAACGGAUCUCUUGGUUCUGGCAUCGAUGAAGAACGCAGC
rnacentral:misc_RNA from 1 species